rnacentral:rRNA from 1 species
CGUGGAGUCUAGCAUGUGYGCAAGUCAUUGGGUUUAUUAAACCUAAAGGCGUAAUUAACUUAACUGUUAAAUAUAAUGGGAUUAAUUAUAUAUUAUUAAUAUAUAUAUUCCAUCCCGGGGCGUUCUAUAUAGUUAUGCAUUUUAAUAUAUAUUUUAUUUUUUAAAUAAGAUUUUAUUAUAUAUGCCUCUAACUAGAGCGUACCUUGAGCAUAUAUGUUGUGACCCGAAAGAUGGUGAACUAUACCUGAUCAGGUUGAAGUCAGGGGAAACCCUGAUGGAAGACCGAAGCAGUUCUGACGUGCAAAUCGAUUGUCAGAAUUGGGUAUAGCGGCGGAAGACCAAUCGAACCAUCUAGUAGCUGGUUCCCUCCGAAGUUUCCCUCAGGAUAGCUGGUGCAAUUAAAAUAUUAUGUAAAAUAAUCUUAUCUGGUAAAGCAAAUGAUUAGAGGCAUUAGGGCCGAAACGACCUUAACCUAUUCUCAAACUUUAAAUGGGUAAGAACCUUACCUUUCUUGAUAUGAAGGUAUAGGUUAUGAUAUAUUGUGCCCAGUGGGCCAAUUUUGGUAAGCAGAACUGGCGCUGUGGGAUGAACCAAACGUGAUGUUACGGCGCCCAAAUUAACAACUCAUACCGAUACCAUGAAAGGCGUUGGUUGCUUAAAACAGCAGGACGGUGGACAUGGAAGUCGUAAUCCGCUAAGGAGUGUGUAACAACUCACCUGCCGAAGCAACUAGCCCUUAAAAUGGAUGGCGCUCAAGUUGUAUGCCUAUACAUCACCGUUAAAGUAUAUGAUUUAUUUAUUAAUUUAUAAAUAAAUUUUGAAACUUUAAUGAGUAGGAGGGUACAAUGGUGUGCGUAGAAGUGUUUGGCGUAAGCCUGCAUGGAGCCACCAUUGGCACAGAUCUUGGUGGUAGUAGCAAAUAAUCGAAUGAGACCUUGGAGGACUGAAGUGGAGAAGGGUUUCGUGUGAACAGUGGUUGAUCACGAGUUAGUCGGUCCUAAGUUCAAGGCGAAAGCCAAAAAAUUGUAAGUUAUAAAUUAUAUAUAUUUAUAAAUAUUAUAAAAUAUUUUUUAAUAUAAUAUACUUAUAAUAAUUGAACGAAAGGGAAUACGGUUCCAAUUCCGUAACCUGUUGAGUAUACGUUUGUAAUUAAAAAUGGGCUUUUAUGCUCAUCCUGGUAACAGAAACAACCAUAAAGAAGCCGUCGAGAAAUAUCGAAAGAGUUUUCUUUUCUGUUUCAUAGUCGUACUACCAUGGAAGUCUUUCGAAGAGAGAUAUGGUAGAUGGGCUAGAAGAGCAUGGCAUUUACUGCUGUGUCGAUAUUUUCUCCUCGGACCUUGAAAAUUUAUGGUAGGGUAACGCAAACUUCUUAACAGGCCGUACCGAUAUCCGCAGCUGGUCUCCAAGGGA